UAGUUGAACAUGUGCGCAAACAGUGUUUUUGGAGAUACGAACCUGCUACUGUAGUGUCAGUUCGAGCAUCAGUCUGCAUCGAAACAGGUGAGCGAACAGAGCCUGCAACCGCCGUGAGCGGCAUACCAGUGUUUAUUGGUAACCGGUAGGCUACUCGGGAGCCCUCAGCGGAUGUCCACUGUCACCGUGUGUACGUGAUGAGGGACUACGGGUUUGAAACACACCUCUGGGGUGGGGGAUCUGCUGGUAGCCAGCACCAAUCUGAGAAGGGUAGAAGGAGGGGGCGGGAAGGUUAGUUUGAAGAGGGCAGGCUUUCCACGAUGACAGCGCUUUCCCUCUCAUCAUUUCCCCGUAACAAAAAAAAAACACUUCAAAAUCCAGUGGAAUAAGAAUUGCCGGAGAAAUCAGUUGGGCCAAAACAGCGCCGAUUGACGGAAAGAAAAUCAAAAGUCGGAAGAAAAUAAGAGCAAGAAGAAACGUUGUUUUCUGGGUUUUGGGCCGUAGUUUGAGAUGGCUGCCACUCUCCGGAAACUUGCAGUAUUUGUGUCAGGCAUGUGGAUUUGCCUCCUGCUCCUCAACCCCUUUCCACAAACCGGGUAAGAUGACUCAUAGUUCUCUCCCUUCUCCCCCUAGCUCUCUCCCAAUUCCAGACACUCGCUCCUCUCCACCUCCUUUUUCCUCUCGUCCUCUUCUGUCCCCCAUUUUGAAGCUCUAGGGAUGUGUUGCAGCUAAUGCAUUCAUUAAUAAGGCUUUAGUACUGUAGCCAGGCUUUAUGAGCCGCAGAAUGCCAUUUUGGAGACCUAGUGUAAAUCGCUAUUGGAUUUCUAGUGGCAAAGCGAUGCUCAAUCAACCUGGAGGAAGGGAAGGCUGGCCUGCCGACAGAGCUUUGGGCAGACCUGAGGGACGGUGAGACAGGGC
rnacentral:lncRNA from 13 species